AAUACUAUUUAUGACAUAAUAUAAUCCGAAUGAACAUCAACUAACAAUAUUAACAGUAUUAACAGUAAACAUCAAUGUCAUAUCCGAAAUUUACGUGAUAUAGUCUAGCGUAAUAAUUUCUCGAAAACGUUGAAAAGGAUUGCAUUUUGAGUUUUCGACCAUCGAAUGUCGUUUCAUUGAGUUUUAUAUUAAUCUCAAGGAGUUCUAUGCUAACUUUUACGUAUAGAAAUGUCGCCUUGUAUAAUCUCGGACUGCGCUAAUCCACUUUAAUUCGGAGGUUGGGGAAUAUGAAGUAUAUCUACAUUUCCGGGAAUUAUCAGGUAUACGGCGAAAACAUCUAACAGUGUUCUAGAAAGAGACAGCACACCUCUCUUAUCGCGGAUCUGCCUUACACUCCUCCUAGAUUCUUAGAUUCUUCGAUCCAUGACUCUAACGAGAUCAGCGCACCACCCAAGAGGAACUAAAAUAAUCGGUAAUGCAGAGAGAAGUUUGACACACGCCGGCGUUUUCCUUGAUAACGUUUUACGCGCGUGGCUCCGUGUGUGUCCUCAGCUCGGGAAAUUGAUAAUGCCUGCGACUUACUUUGAAAUACCGCAACGAGGUAAAGGUCCUCAAGGUCGAAGGAUUCGCGAUUCCAGUCACUUCAGAUAAAGGGCGGAGCGAAUAUGGAACGCGAUAAAGAGUUUUUCCGACAUGUGUUUCUUCGACUUUGAUUUGAAAAAAAGUGCCGCUGAAGCUUAUCACUUGCCUUUGGACACUUAUAGGCAAGCUACUCCUUCAGAAAGAACGUGUGGAAAAUUGAUGCAACGUUUCAAAGAAGGUGAUAUUGAAGUUCAAGACAAGAAACGCUCAGGGCAACCGAAAAAAUUUGACGACGAGGAAUUGCAAGAGUUAUUGGAUGAAAAUCCGGCACAGACGCUCAAAGAAUUGUCAGCUCAGCUUGGUAAAACAAACUAUGCCCGAGGAGCGUGGUAACAAACGUGUUAAUAAUCAUCAAUAAAUAUUAUUAAUUUUUUUUAUUGUACAAAUGUUAUUAAAUUUUUUUAAAUAAUUUUAUUUGACUGUUAUAUUUUCCAUAAUAUACGAUAUUGAAAUGCGAACAAUAUUAAUAUAUAAUUCAUGAAUAAAUAAACAUAACUAUGCAUAUAAAUAAUUAUUUCAGUAACUUUUCAACAAACAUUCAAAAAGGUUUCAGAUAUAUUUUGGUAACCUUUCAGCACAUCUUCAGGAAGGUUUCAAGUGCAAGAAUUUUGCUAUCCCAGAGUCGUCUCAGAAACAUUUUGAAACAUUUCGGUGCUGUAUGGGAGAGUUGAGAACAUUCUUGGAGGGGGGAGNGGG